rnacentral:piRNA from 1 species
AGAAGAGUGAGCAGCCUAAUCAAGCCA